AUGCGAGGCUUACCUGUGAUGACGGCUGUGCGUCUUAGAUUCGGAAUGGUGGCAGAUCCUGUGGUGGUAGCGUUGUGGUUCUGUGCGCGAAUAGAGGGCGUCGCGGUCAAGCUGAUGGGGUGCAUGGAUAACUGCUUCCAAUGGAGAGAUCUGAAAUGGGAUAUGGUGUGUCGGUGUUGUACGGUUGUUGUGCUAGGUUCGUCGGUCAGAGAUCCCUGA